rnacentral:rRNA from 1 species
ACACGACUACAUUAGAUACCCCUGUAGUCCUAGCCGUAAACGAUACUCGCUAGGUGUCGGCCACGGUGCGACCGUUGUCGGUGCCGUAGGGAAGCCGUGAAGCGAGCCACCUGGGAAGUACGGCCGCAAGGCUGAAACUUAAAGGAAUUGGCGGGGGAGCACAACAGCGGGUGGAGCUUGCGGUUUAAUUGGAUUCAACGCCGGAAAUCUUACCGGGACCGACAGCAACAUGAAGGCCAAGCUGAAGACUUUGCCGGAUUAGCUG